rnacentral:misc_RNA from 1 species
GAUGAAGAACGCAGCGAAAUGCGAUAAGUAAUGUGAAUUGCAGAAUUCAGUGAAUCAUCGAAUCUUUGAACGCACAUUGCGCCCGCCAGCAUUCUGGCGGGCAUGCCUGUUCGAGCGUCGUUUCAACCCUCGAGCCCCCCCGGGGGCCUCGGUGUUGGGGGACGGCACACCAGCCGCCCCCGAAAUGCAGUGGCGACCCCGCCGCAGCCUCCCCUGCGUAGUAGCACACACCUCGCACCGGAGCGCGGAGGCGGUCACGCCGUAAAACGCCCAACUUUCUUAGAGUUGACCUCGGAUCAGGUAGGAAUACCCGCUGAACUUAAGCAUAUCAAUAAGCGGAGGA